AUUGAACGCUGGCGGCAUGCCUUACACAUGCAAGUCGAACGGCAGCGGACCUUCGGGUGCCGGCGAGUGGCGAACGGGUGAGUAAUAUAUCGGAACGUACCUUUCAGUGGGGGAUAACGUAGCGAAAGUUACGCUAAUACCGCAUAUUCUGUGAGCAGGAAAGCAGGGGAUCGCAAGACCUUGCGCUGAUUGAGCGGCCGAUAUCAGAUUAGCUAGUUGGUGAGGUAAAGGCUCACCAAGGCGACGAUCUGUAGCGGGUCUGAGAGGAUGAUCCGCCACACUGGAACUGAGACACGGUCCAGACUCCUACGGGAGGCAGCAGUGGGGAAUUUUGGACAAUGGGCGCAAGCCUGAUCCAGCCAUGCCGCGUGAGUGAAGAAGGCCUGGUGUAAGCUCUUCGUCGGACGAAGUACGCACAGUAAGUACCUACGUGUGGAUGACGGUACCGGAACGUAAGAA
rnacentral:rRNA from 1 species